UACGUAGGGUGCGAGCGUUAAUCGGAAUUACUGGGCGUAAAGGGUGCGCAGGCGGCUUCGCAAGUCAGGCGUGAAAUCCCCCGAGCUUAACUUGGGAAUUGCGUUUGAAACUACGAGGCUGGAGUGUGGCAGAGGGAGGUGGAAUUCCACGUGUAGCGGUGAAAUGCGUAGAUAUGUGGAGGAACACCGAUGGCGAAGGCAGCCUCCUGGGCCAACACUGACGCUCAUGCACGAAAGCGUGGGAGCAAACAGG
rnacentral:rRNA from 1 species